rnacentral:rRNA from 1 species
AUUGAACGCUGGCGGCAUGCUUUACACAUGCAAGUCGAACGGUAACAGGCCGCAAGGUGCUGACGAGUGGCGCACGGGUGAGUAAUGCAUCGGAACGUGCCCAGUCGUGGGGGAUAACUACUCGAAAGAGUAGCUAAUACCGCAUACGAUCUAUGGAUGAAAGCGGGGGACCGUAAGGCCUCGCGCGAUUGGAGCGGCCGAUGGCAGAUUAGGUAGUUGGUGGGGUAAAGGCUCAACAAGCCAACGAUCUGUAGCUGGUCUGAGAGGACGACCAGCCACACUGGGACUGAGACGCGGCCCAGACUCCGACGUGAGGCAGCGGUGGGGAAUUUUGGACACUGGGCGCAAGCCUGAACCAGCAAUGCCGCGUGCAGGAAGAAGGCCUUCGGGUUGUAAACUGCUUUUGUACGGAACGAAACGGCUCUGGUUAAUACCCGGGACUAAUAACGGGACCGUAAGAAAAGACACCGGCUAACUACGG